rnacentral:lncRNA from 1 species
GUUUCUUUACCAAGUUAUCAUCUCAGGUUGCUAAAGAUUCAGUCUUUUGAGUUUGUUGAUGUUUGUUGCAGGAAAGAAAACAGAGACGCAAGAUUUAACGAGUUCCCAUGACCAAAUCAGUCAUAGUACGUCUCGGAGAGUCUCAACCAACUCUCAAGGCACUAAGAUCAGUAUCCGGAUGUUACAACCUCACACUUAGCUCACAAGUCUCUCACCCCCACCCAAGAAUCCACUCUAGAUGUUUUUACCAAGAAGAACAAGAAGAUAAGUGAAAACCCUCAACCCCUGUUUUCUCUCAAACUCUCUCUAGAACUCUCUCUCUCAGAUGAAUACAAAACUUGCUUAACCUGCAAGCUGAAUGCUGCUUUCCUUUUAAUCUGUGCCAAGCCAUUCUCUGCAGGUGCUAGGAGACAAAACAGUACUACACACAUCCUGCCUCUGCACCAAAACGAUCCCUCACAUUGCCGUUUCUUUCUCUUGGGCUCAAGUCAACAGCAGACUCCGAUUGGGCCUUUACCGGCCCAUUCCCUUAGACUCAAACCCAGCCCGUCUAAAGUCCAAUCACCUGAAACGACAAUCUCCAUCUUGAUUGCCUUUAGACGACACAACCGAAGAGUUUACCCUCUCCAGUCAAUUUCCCCGACGAUUCACCUCGCCGGAGACCUAGCCCCUUCACCAGACUAGUGGUGGUGCCGAAGCACCUUCAAGUCACUCAACGCAUCAUCAAAUUUCUUCACAGGUACUGAUUUUGUGAGUAUAUCAGCCGGAUUCUCUUUGGUGUUUAUCUUAAUGACUUUUAGAGUUCCUUCCUCGAUCUCAUCUCUGAUAAAAUGAAAUCGCCUCCUGAUGUGUUUCGUACGCUCAUGAUGAACAUUGUUCUUUGCCAAACAGAUUGCACUUUGGGAGUCGCAGAAGAUCUCUGUUGCAUGUUGCGGAUAACCAAGCUCUUCUGCGAUUUGCGACAGCCACAGCGCUUCCUUUGCUGCCUCAGACAACGCCAUGUACUCUGCUUCCGUUGUGGAUAGAGCUACAACCUGUUGAAGCCCAGAUCUCCAGCUUACCGUGUUCUCACCUACUUGAAACACAUACCCGGUAAUUGAUCUGCUUCUAUCCAGAUCUGCUGAAUGAUCACUAUCACAAUAGCCUCUUACUUUGAAAUCCUUAGACUUUGUGAAUGUUAGCUUAUAGUCUGUUGUGCCUCUGAUGUAUCUAAGUAUCCAUUUCACUGCAGACCAAUGCUCUCUGUUGGGACAGCUCAUGAACCGACUCACCAAGCCAAUUGCAUAUGCUAUAUCUGGUCUUGUUCCAACCAUGGAGUACAUCAAACUCCCCACAGCACUUGCAUAAGGUAUGUUCUCCAUUUCAGCCUCUGCUUCAGCUUUGUCUUCUGGUUUGGUGCUAGAAAGUUUGAAAUGAGAACCUAUAGGUGUCAUCACUGCUUUACUUUCCAGCAUGUUAAAGUUCCUGAUCACUUUCUCCAGAUACCUUUGCUGAGACAACUGUAAUAUACCCUUUUCCCUGUCUCGAGUAAUGUCAAUUCCCAGAAUCCUGCUAGCCUUUCCCAUGUCCUUCAUAUCAAAUUCAUCUCCCAUAACCUUUUUCAACUUAGCAAUCUCUUCCUUAGCCUUAGCUGCAAUCAGCAUGUCAUCCACAUACAAGAGUAGGUAGAUGUAGUCUCCUUCACUUAGGCAUUUGAAAUACACGCAAGGAUCAUAGCUGCUUCUUGUGUAUUUCUGAGAUUUCAUGAACUGAUUGAACCUCCUGUUCCAUUGUCUAGGAGCUUGUUUCAACCCGUAUAGAAAUUUCUUUAGCAAACAUACCUUGUCUCCUUUUACAAAACCUUCUGGCUGUUCCAUGUAGAUUUCUUCUUCUAGAUCACCAUGUAGAAAAGCUGUCUUCACAUCUAGCUGUUCUAACUCCAUGUCUUGAUAAACCACCAUAGAGAGUACCAAUCUUAUAGUUAUGUGUUUAACUACAGGAGCAAACACCUCAUGAUAGUCAAUCCCUUCUAUCUGAGAGAAACCCUUUGCAACCAGUCUAGCCUUGUAUCUAGGAUCCUCACCGUCUGUUAAACCUUGUUUCAACUUGAAGACCCAUUUACAACCAAUUACUUUUCUGUCUUUUGGCCUAUCCACCAGGAUCCAUGUAUGAUUUUUCAGAAGUGACUCCAUCUCUUCAUCUGAUGCUAAUAUCCAUUUAUCUCUUUCCUUGCAGUUCAUUGCUUCAUGAAAACUUUCAGGCUCAUCAAGAUCAAUGAUAUGAGACAUUACCAGAGCAUAGAUAGCCACAUUACCAUGAUCAUAUCUGCUAGGAGGUCUGAUGUUUUGUCUCAUGUUUCUGUCUCUUGCUAGCAGAUAAGUGUCAAGAUCCUGUCCAGAUCCAUCCUCUGAUGUAUCUUCUUCUUCUUCUAUUAUUUCAGGAUCUACCAUGGCUCCAUCUUCAGUGGCUCCAUCUUCAGUUACCACUGAUGGAAUUUCCUGUUCUUGAGGAGAUUCCCCAGAGGAUUCUCCUCCUUCUAAUGUGGCUCCAUCUGCAGCUUCUGUAACCUCUGUUUGCAGCUCAAAGGUUACACUCUUUCCCUUCUUCUUAGAUACCUCUUUCUCUGUUUCAGACAUUUUCUCUAUAUCUCUGUAUAGAAUGUCUUCAUUGAAUGUUACAUCACGACUCACAAUGCAUUUCUUAUCCUCAAUACUCCAAAUUCUGUAACCCUUAACUCCUUGUGGAUACCCCAUAAACACUCCCUUCUUUGCUCUUGGUUUAAGUUUACCCUGCUCAACAUGAUAGUAAGCAAGGCAACCAAACCUCUUCAUGUGACUGUACUCAGGUUCUCUUCCUGUGUAAACUUGUUCAGGUACCUUUAAGUCCAACGGAGCUGAUGGAGUCCUGUUUAUGAUAUACACAACAGUAGAUGAAGCUUCUGCCCAGAAUCUUUCUCCCAAACCAGUUUCACUCAGCAAGCUUCUUACUUUCUCAAGAAUGAUCCUAUUCAGCCUCUCUGCAACUCCAUUUUGCUGUGGAGUAUAAGGACAUGUCCUGUGCCUCAUAAUCCCCCUUUCUUUGCAAUAGUCAUCAAAGGUUUUAUUGCAGUAUUCUAAUCCAUUGUCUGUUCUUAGAAUUUUCAGCUUCUUCCCACUCUGAUUUUCAACUAAUGCAAGCCAUUCAGCAAACUUUGCAAAGGCUUCAUCUUUCGUCUUUAAGAAGUAGAUCCAGACCUUUCUAGAGAAGUCAUCUACAAAGGAAAUGUAGUAUUGACAUUUACUCAAGCUCAAAGUCACAUUUGGAGAACCCCAAAGAUCUGAAUGAACAUACUCUAGAACUUCCUGAGAGGUAUGUUUUCCUGUCUUGAAUGGGGUUUUAUGAGAUUUCCCAUAUAUGAAGUGUUCACACAUUUUCAACUCUGAAAUGCCAUCCCCAUUAAGUAACUUCUUCUGAACCAUGAUUUUCAGGUUCUUGGCACUCAUGUGGCCUAGUCUGCUAUGCCACAACUGUAUGCCUUCAGGUGUGCUUACUGCUGCAUUUGCCUGCGCCAGCCUAGCUUCCCCAUCAAGGAUGUAGAGAGUGCCCUUGUAGUCUCCUGCUAGCACCUCUCUGUCUCCUUUGAACACUCGCAGCCUGUAGUCCUUUGACCCAAAGCUGUAGCCAAGUGUUUCCAAUUGUCCCAAAGAGAUAAGAUUCCUUCUAGCUGUUUUUGAGUAUCUCACAUUAGAUAGAAUGACUUCACUUCCAUCAUAAUUGACAAAUCUGAUCUUCCCUAUUGUAGAGAUUUCACAGAAUGUGUCAUUUCCCAUGAGAAUUCUUCCCCCAUCAACUUCUUCCACAUCAAACAUCAGAUCUUUGUUCAUUGUCAUGUGGUAAGAGCAGCCAGAAUCUAGUACCCAGCCUUCCCUCGAGCCUCCAUGAGAUACAGUGAGCAUCAUUGGUUCUGCAUCCAUAGCUUGAGCUAGACUGGCUUCUCCCUUUUGACUUGUUCCAGCCUGGUAUUUCUUGGGACAAUCUUUCUUUAAGUGUUCUUCACUUCCACAAAUCCAACAAGCUCUCUUCUUCUUUGGUUUAGAUUUGCUUCUACUGGAUUUGCCCUUUGACUGACCCCUCUUCUCUGAUCUUCCUCUUGCCUGUACCAGCAACCCCUCAUCAGCAGGCUUUACUGAUAUCAGUCCCUUCUGCUUGAGCUCCAAUUCAAUAAAGUAAGCAGAUCUGAUUAUCUCCUUGGUGGUGAUGGUAUCUUUGGUACUGCUGUACUUCAGAGUAUGAACCAGGUGAUCAUACUUUUUAGGUAAGCUGUUCAUGAGUACUGCAGCCUUGUCCUCUUCUCUCAUUUCAGCAUUCAUACUAGAGAGAUCUAACACCAGUUUGUUAAAGUUGUCCAGAUUCUUGUCUAGACUCUGAUCCUCCUCCAUCUUGAAGCUGAAGAACCUUUGCUUCAAGUAAAAGCGAUUUGGCAAGGUCUGUGCUUGGUACUCAUUCUCUAGAGCUUUCCACAUAUCAUAUGCAGUAGGCUCUGUCAUCACCUUCCUCAGAACUGGGUCUGUCAAAGCAUGCCCCAGGAGGUUUCUAACCCUUUGAUCUUUCUCUUUCCAUAAUGGAUCUGGCUUCUCUCCCUCUUUAACAGGUUCCUUUGGUUUGAGCAGAGCACUGAAACCCAGAAUCUCCAGCUGACCAACCAUUUUGUGCUUCCAGAGAGUAAAGUCACCAUCACCAUCAAACUUAUCAACCUCAAACCGACCUUUGGUAGGUUCCAGCGUCUUUACUUCUGAAUCCGACAUCAAAGAUCCCACCUUUUCAGAUAAAAUCACCAAAGCUCACACCUUUUCUACUUUAGUCCUCUGAAGAACCUUAGAAAUAGCCUCAAAGACUCACAAAACACAACAAAGUGAAGAAAUGAGCCUUAAAGGUGGUACCUUUCUUCUAUUCAACAUAUAACACCUUUAGAAUAUCUUAAAGCUUUCAAAGAUUGAAACUUUAUUACCUUCCUGAGUCUCUGGUAACCUGUGCUCUGAUACCACUGUUAGUUUCUUUACCAAGUUAUCAUCUCAGGUUGCUAAAGAUUCAGUCUUUUGAGUUUGUUGAUGUUUGUUGCAGGAAAGAAAACAGAGACGCAAGAUUUAACGAGUUCCCAUGACCAAAUCAGUCAUGGUACGUCUCGGAGAGUCUCAACCAACUCUCAAGGCACUAAGAUCAGUAUCCGGAUGUUACAACCUCACACUUAGCUCACAAGUCUCUCACCCUCACCCAAGAAUCCACUCUAGAUGUUUUUACCAAGAAGAACAAGAAGAUAAGUGAAAACCCUCAACCCCUGUUUU